rnacentral:rRNA from 1 species
GAUGAACGCUGGCGGCGUGCCUAAUACAUGCAAGUCGAGCGAACAGACGAGGAGCUUGCUCCUCUGACGUUAGCGGCGGACGGGUGAGUAACACGUGGAUAACCUACCUAUAAGACUGGGAUAACUUCGGGAAACCGGAGCUAAUACCGGAUAAUAUAUUGAACCGCAUGGUUCAAUAGUGAAAGACGGUUUUGCUGUCACUUAUAGAAGGAUCCGCGCCGCAUUAGCUAGUUGGUAAGGUAACGGCUUACCAAGGCAACGAUGCGUAGCCGACCUGAGAGGGUGAUCGGCCACACUGGAACUGAGACACGGUCCAGACUCCUACGGGAGGCAGCAGUAGGGAAUCUUCCGCAAUGGGCGAAAGCUUGACGGAGCAACGCCGCGUGAGUGAUGAAGGUCUUCGGAUCGUAAAACUCUGUUAUUAGGGAAGAACAAAUGUGUAAGUAACUAUGCACGUCUUGACGGUACCUAAUCAGAAAGCCACGGCUAACUACGUG